UGACAGUCGGAAGAGGGUGCGGGGAAGACAGUCGAGGUAGAGAAGUUUGCACCUCAGACCCAGGAGGGUUCUAAUUCCCCGCACGGCCAGCUUGGCCCCACAAGAGGCGUCCUUGGUGGAGAGCUUUGGACGUUCGAAAUAGGGAGUGAGCACGUUAGCUAGGACGCCCAUUCAUUUCCCUCCUCAACAAACAUAGUUAGCGUUCCUGCAAAGGCCCUUGAAAUACCUUGAAAUAAGUCAGUGAAAGACAGCCCUGCCACCGGCUGUCAGUAAGGCACCCAGAGGAGUAAACAGGAAAUUACAAUAAGGAGAGACGAUUGUGCUGCCAGAGAAAAGUGCCUGGCGCCUGAGGAGUCCAGGGCGCCUGGCCAGCAUGGCCUGGGGAGCAGGCGUGGAAGUUCUCUUAGAAGGCCUCCCACAAGACUGGCCGAGCUUGAAGCCACUUGAGGUCUAGGCGAGGGCGGGGGUUCGGAGAGGAAACAGGAAGAGAAGGCAGAGGCCGAAGGUGCGCUGGGGGCAGAGGGCGACCCUGCUGCAGGGAGGAGGAACAGAAUCCAGAUGAGGAAGAGCCUGAGCCAAGACGGAGGUCAAACAGCGGGGUGAAUUCAGGAAAUGUCCGGUUCCUCCUGGCUCUGUGUCUCAGACUUUCUUUGUUUUGGUGACCUUGACAGUUUUGAGGAAUCCUGGGCAGGUGUUUUGCAAAAUGUCCCUCAGAUUUGGCGGCCGCGGCAGACCCCAAAGAAGACUGUGGAUAGGCGUGGUAGCUGCGAACCCCUUUUUGAGUUCACUGUCUUUCUCACCGUUUCCCAGGGCUGUGGGUGAGAAAAAGGGGACUUCCAGAGAAGUAAAAUAACUUGCCCCGAAGCCACCCAGACAGAAGUUGGCGGCAUCUUGCACCAGGGCAAGGAACAACAGGUGGGGUCAGCGUCUUGCCGGGCUUCCCAGAACCCAGUGGGACUGCGCAGGGCCUCUCUAAAGCUCAAAGGACCUGCUAGUUUUGGGGCUUCCCCGAACGAUCCCUGCCCUGCCCCCCAGGAACCUUAGAGAGCAGCUCUGUGGAAAAAAGGAGGCAGAAAGUGGUGUGGAGGAACUACUGGUCUUUAAGAGGUUCUUCAAGAGAGUGUGACUUUCUCUUAGACAAGGCUUGCAGAGGGCAGGAGGAGGAAGAGGGAGGUGGCUGGCGGAAAUGAUUCCUGGGAAGAGCGGGGGCGGCAGGGAGGGAGAGGGCGGCUUACUUAGUUUAGUCUUUGAGGCCACAAAGGAGACAGGCGGCAGGGGAGAUUGGAAAUCCAGCCCCCCACUAAGCAUAAGAGGGGUGGGUGGGUGUCGUGCAAAUGGAAGGGAGCCACCACGGACCACUGCUGUAGGAAGGAACUUGAAAUCAGCCACCAGCCGGGAAGACAGGACGAAAGGGCACACAGACACAAGAAGGAUCUAGAGGCAUGUAAGGUGGACAGGUCCCUAAGCUAAAGGGAUUUGGAAGCUGCCUCUGUCCAAGAGGUUAAAGAGCUCACAUGCACAGGCCCGGGUGUCCAGCCCAGAGAGACCAGAGGGGAAGCCAGGGAAAGAUCUGGAAGGAUGGGCGAUGUGCAGCUGAGGGGCUGCUGCAGAUGGUCUGGACUUCUCGCUGCAGCAAGAGGCUGGAGACUAGGGGAGAGGGCACCUGGGGCAGAGACUCCAAGGUCAAGAACAGGUCAAGGGUCCCUUGAGCCUUCCUGUGAGGGCAGUGGCUCAGCAGUAGCAAGUGUCUAACAACACAAAUGAUUUGAAUCAGAGCACGUUUCACGCAGGAAGGAGCUCAUCUGUUGCCACAAUCUUCACCCCUCCCCGCCUCACACCCAGGAGGGUCACUUCAUUUCUGUGACCGGCUGGCUCUCAUGGGUGCCAGAUUUUUGACCUUUGAGACACCUGCAAUGCCACCUUUGGAGACCCCAGGUUGGGGGAGGGGACGAGAGAGGAGGCUGGCGUCCCAAGGGCCCCUAACUUUGCCCAAUGCCCUCUCCUCAGAUGCUGCUCCUUGGUACCACGUCUGUACGGGUCCUCGGGGAGGGACUGUUGUGCCUUUAGCGGCUCUGGUACUGCCCAUAAAUGUCAACAGCGCCCUCUAGUUUUUGUAACAGUCACACAUGCCUCCCUGGAAGUAGGGGUGAGAUCACUCUAACUGAGAGCUCCUGGAGCCCCUCUUUGGUGCUGGGGAAGUGACUUCCACCCCUGCCAGAAUUUUCUUGGCAUAGAAGCACAGAGACACAGAAGCCAGUGU